rnacentral:rRNA from 1 species
AGCAGCCGCGGUAAUUCCAGCUCCAAUAGCGUAUAUUAAAGUUGUUGCAGUUAAAAAGCUCGUAGUUGAACUUCGGGGUUUACCCAUUGGUCAGGCUUAAUUGUCUGUACUGGUGAGAUAAAUCUCUACCUUCUGAGGAACUUUCAUGCCAUUUAUUUGGUGUGAUUGGAAAUCAGGACUAUUACUUUGAAAAAAUUGAGUGUUUAAAGCAGGCUAACGUCUGAAUAUAUUAGCAUGGAAUAAUGAAAUAGGACGGCUUGGUUCUAUUUCGUUGGUUUCUAGGAUCACCGUAAUGAUUAAUAGGGAUAGUUGGGGGCAUUAGUAUUCAAUUGUCAGAGGUGAAAUUCUUGGAUUUAUUGAAGACUAACUACUGCGAAAGCAUUUGCCAAGGAUGUUUUCAUUAAUCAAGAACGAAAGUUAGGGAUCGAAGACGAUCAGAUACCGUCGUAGUCUUAACCAUAAACUAUAGCCGACUAGGGAUCGGACGAAGUUAAUUUUAUAAUGACGCGUUCGGCACCUU